AGUGAACGCUGGCGGUAGGCCUAACACAUGCAAGUCGAACGGCAGCACAGUAAGAGCUUGCUCUUACGGGUGGCGAGUGGCGGACGGGUGAGGAAUACAUCGGAAUCUACUUUUUCGUGGGGGAUAACGUAGGGAAACUUACGCUAAUACCGCAUACGACCUACGGGUGAAAGCAGGGGAUCUUCGGACCUUGCGCGACUGAAUGAGCCGAUGUCGGAUUAGCUAGUUGGCGGGGUAAAGGCCCACCAAGGCGACGAUCCGUAGCUGGUCUGAGAGGAAGAUCAGCCACACUGGAACUGAGACACGGUCCAGACUCCUACGGGAGGCAGCAGUGGGGAAUAUUGGACAAUGGGCGCAAGCCUGAUCCAGCCAUACCGCGUGGGUGAAGAAGGCCUUCGGGUUGUAAAGCCCUUUUGUUGGGAAAGAAAAGCAGCAGGUUAAUACCCCGCUGUUCUGACGGUACCCAAAGAAUAAGCACCGGCUAACUUCGUG
rnacentral:rRNA from 1 species